GUUGCUAAGGUGUUGCUAUGGUAUCUGGGGUGGUUGCUAAGGUGUUUCUAAGUGGUUGCUAGGUGGUUGCUAAGGUGUUGCUAUGGUAUCCAGGGUGGUUGCUAAGAUGUUGCUAGGUGGUUGCUAAGGUGUUUCUAUGGUAUCUGGGGUGGUUGCUAAGGUGUUUCUAGGUGGUUGCUAGGUGGUUGCUAAGGUGUUGCUAUGGUAUCUGGGGUGGUUGCUAAGGUGUUUCUAGGUGGUUGCUAGGUGGUUGCUAAGGUGUUGCUAUGGUAUCCGGGGUGGUUGCUAAGGUGUUGCUAGGUGGUUGAUAGGUGGUUGCUAGGGUGUUGCUUGGUGGUUGCUAAGGUGUUGCUAUGGUAUCCGGGGUGGUUGCUAAGGUGUUGCUAGGUGGUUGCUAGGCAGUUGCUAUCAUUUCUAAAGUGGUUGCUAAGUGGUUGCUAGGCAGUUGCUAACAUUUUCCUAGUGGUUGUUAAGGUGUUGCUAAGUGGUUGCUAGGCAGUUGCUAUUGUUUCUAAAGUGGUGGCUAAGUGGUUGCUAGGCAGUUGCUAACGUUUUCCAGGUGGUUGCUCAGUGGUUGCUAGGCAGUUGCUAACGUUUUCCAGGUGGUUGCUAAGUGGUUGCUAGGCAGUUGCUAUAAUUUCUAAAGUGGUUGCUAAGUGGUUGCUAGGCAGUUGCUAACGUUUUCCUAGUGGUUGCUAUGGUAUUGUUAAGUGGUUGCUAGGCAGUUGCUAUCAUUUCUAAAGUGGUUCCUAAGUGGUUGCUAUGCAGUUGCUAACGUUUUAAUAGUGGUUGCUAAGGUUUUGCUAGGCAGUUGCUAUCAUUUCUAAAGUGGUUGCUAGGCAGUUGCUAUCGUUUUCCUAGUGGUUGUUAAGGUGUUGCUAAGUGGUUGCUAGGCAGUUGCUAUCAUUUCUAAAGUGCUUGCUAGGCAGUUGCUAACGUUUUACCAAUGGUUGUUAAGGUGUUGCUAAGUGGUUGCUAGGCAGUUGCUUUCGUUUCUAAAGUGGUUGCUAAGUGGUUGCUAGGCAGUUGCUAACGUUUUCCAGGUGGUUGCUAAGUGGUUGCUAGGCAGUUGCUAACAUUUUCCAGGUGGUUGCUAGGCAGUUGCUAAGUGGUUGCUAGGCAGUUGCUAACGUUUUCCAAGUGGUUUCUAGGCAGUUGCUAAGUGGUUGCUAGGCAGUUGCUAACAUUUUCCAGGUGGUUGCUAAGUGGUUGCUAGGUAGUUGCUAACGUAUUCCAGGUGGUUGCUAGGCAGUUGCUAAGUGGUUGCUAGGCAGUUGCUAACGUUUUCCAGGUGGUUGCUCAGUGGUUGCUAGGCAGUUGCUAACGUUUUCCAGGUGGUUGCUAAGUGGUUGCUAGGCAGUUGCUAACGUAUUCCAGGUGGUUGCUAGGCAGUUGCUAAGUGGUUGCUAGGCAGUUGCUAACGUUUUCCAAGUGGUUGCUAGGCAGUUGCUAACGUAUUCCAGGUGGUUGCUAGGCAGUUGCUAAGUGGUUGCUAGGCAGUUGCUAACGUUUUCCAAGUGGUUGCUAGGCAGUUGCUAAGUGGUUGCUAGGCAGUUGCUAACGUUUUCCAGGUGGUUGCUAAGGUGUUGCUAAGUGGUUGCUAGGCAGUUGCUAACGUUUUCCAUGUGGUUGCUAAGUGGUUGCUAGGCAGUUGCUAUCAUUUCUAAAGUGGUUGCUAAGUGGUUGCUAGGCAGUUGCUAACGUUUUCCAAGUGGUUGCUAGGCAGUUGCUAAGUGGUUGCUAGGCAGUUGCUAACAUUUUCCAGGUGGUUGCUAAGUGGUUGCUAGGUAGUUGCUAACAUAUUCCAGGUGGUUGCUAGGCAGCUGCUAAGUGGUUGCUAGGCAGUUGCUAACGUUUUCCAGGUGGUUGCUAAGUGGUUGUUAGGCAGUUGCUAACGUUUUCCAGGUGGUUGCUAGGCAGUUGCUAAGUGGUUGCUAGGCAGUUGCUAACGUUUUCCAAGUGGUUGCUAGGCAGUUGCUAAGUGGUUGCUAGGCAGUUGCUAACGUUUUCCAUGUGGUUGCUAAGUGGUUGCUAGGCAGUUGCUAACGUUUUCCAUGUGGUUGCUAAGUGGUUGCUAGGCAGUUGCUAUCAUUUCUAAAGUGGUUGCUAAGUGGUUGCUAGGCAGUUGCUAACGUUUUCCAAGUGGUUGCUAGGCAGUUGCUAAGUGGUUGCUAGGCAGUUGCUAACAUUUUCCAGGUGGUUGCUAAGGUGUUGCUAAGUGGUUGCUAGGCAGUUGCUAACGUUUUCCAUGUGGUUGCUAAGUGGUUGCUAGGCAG